GCCGGUAUAGCUCAGUCUGGUAGUCAGCGACUGCCUCGUAAGCAGUAGGUCCGGGGUUCGAAUCCUCGUGCCGGCA
rnacentral:tRNA from 4 species